CAAACUGGAAGUACAAACAGAAAUACCUAGGAGUGGGAGCGAAAGGUGAUAGGCACCUCAUCCCAGUAUCAGAGACUGAGGGCUCAGGCCCCGCCUUUUAACUGGGUUCUCUUACCAGCCUUCUGAGCUGGAAUUUGUUUUUUCCCAUGUGACCUGCCCACUGGGCGUGGGGAAACCUUACCUGAUGGCCAAGCCCAGUUUUCAACCAAUAAUAAUGAAGAUGAGAAGCAUUACCAUUUAUUGAGCUUCUAUUAAGCAUCAGUCACCACGCUAGGUAUUUCCUCCACAAUAUCUGUGUAAGCCACAGUCACUGCUCAAAGUUGGCAUUACUCCCCCAUAUUCUGCGGCCGAAACUGGGAUUCAAAAAGGAAGGUCAUAGGAAAUCUUGCAGUUGUGACCUGGGUCUCUGGGAAUACUCAUUCUGAGACAAGACACUGUAUAUAAGAAGUCCAGCUAUCCGAGGAAAGCUACUACAUGUAAAAGUCCAGAUUGUCAUGCUGUAUGGACUCCUAAACUAGCCACAUGGAGAGGGCUGCCUAGCCAGGCCCCAGUCCUUUCAGCCACCCCAUUUGAGGCACCAAACAAGUGAGUAAAGAAGCCAUUUUGGACACCCAGCCCAGUCAAGUCUUCAGAUGAUCCCACUCCAGUCUCCAUCUGGAUGUAAUCAGUCCCCAAGUUGGACCCCACACAGUAGAUGAACAGUCAACCCACAGACUAUGCUAGGUUUAAUGAAUAAAAGACGAAUAGGACAUGGCCCCAGUUACCCUCAGGGAGCCCUGACCCGUGGUGAAGAUGCGCACAUGAGGCAGUGACCUGAUGGGAUCCGAUACAGGGGAAUAAUGAGCCUCACAGUAGACUGGUCACUCUGCCAGGGGAGAAGGUGGUUCUACUUAUAAAGUAGAGAAGAAUUUUCUAAAAAAGGUGAUACUGAAGUGCAUCUUGAAAAAUGCCCGGAAGCAUACCUGUGGACAUGGUGGUGGAGCGGCAGUGCCACAGAGAGACCCAUGUGCAAAGAGACAUUAUAUCCAGGCUGGGGAAGAGCAGGUAAUAAAACCAGUGGGAGAAGAAGGACCUGGUCAUGACGGCCUCGUACGCCAGGUCAUAAAACAGAAAUUUGGUCUAGCUGAAAAUGGGAAACAAAUAAAGAAUUUUAGAAGGUGAA